GGUUUCGUUUGGUUUCGUUUCGCUAAGUACAGUAAGCCGGUGUGUGGCUAAUCUUCACUUUGAAUGCCAGGAGUUUAAACCCAAAGGCCAUUGUCAGUAGGGAGAAGUUUGAAAAUAUCAACCCAUCACAACAAAAUAUCCUUCAACAAAGUACAAUGGAGGCAGCAACACCCUUACCUUCGAGCAGCCUUCCUCCUUCUUCAAGUUUGAAUACCUCUCACUCGAGUGAAGAAAGCGAGAGCUUCGUCGUAGUGGAUAAAAGUUCGUCCUUGGACGAAAAUUUGCGAAUCUCACAGACCAAUGGAGAAGAUAGGGUGGAAAUAAAGCU